GUAUAUGGUCAUAGCACCCUGAAAGCGCCGGAUCGCCUCUGAUCUCGGAAGCUAAGCGGGGUCAGGCCUGGUUACUACGUGGA
ensembl:rRNA 5S_rRNA 5S ribosomal RNA